CUGAUUUCACUAUCAUUUCAAAAACCUUUCAAAAUGCCCGCUUCCCUGCUCCUCUCUCUCUCCGGCGAUUCCAGAUCUGGAUCUAGGGUUUUUCUCCAUCACGUUUCUACUACUCCAAUUCCUCAUGGAAAUCAUACAGUCGUCUCAAAAUCAAACAGUCCUCUCAAAAUCAAACUCAAGUCUAGGUUUUGAACUUCAUGGAGCGUUGAAGAUGAUGCAAGCAGCUGCUUUAAUUGGUGGUGGUUAGCAACGAUAGAGAUGGUGGUGGUCUGAGGCUUGUGGUGUUAAUGGUUAGCGUCAACAGAUUCUGGUGACCCAACCUAGGGUUUAGAGCUUCGACCAGAUUCUGGUAGCCCUAUCUAGGGUUCUGACCAUAACCCCAAUCCGGUGAAAGUUGUAGAUAGUAAAGGAAUGACAAUGAAUUUCGUGUUGUGUGGUACCGUAUCUCUCAUUUCACCAUUUUUUAAAAAUUUUAAGUUAUAGCAAAUGACGAGGUUUUAAUUUUAGCUAAGGUUCAUAAAAACUUCAUUAGAGAUGAUGGGGUUUUAGUUUUUGAAUUGGGGGGUUUUGGGUUUAAUGGGGUUGUUGAUAUUUUUUUGUUAAACUAAAAACCAGUUGAUACUUAUGAGUCAAAUGAAGUUAGCUGAGAUACAUAUGCUACUUGAAGCAACUUUGUCAAGCCAAUUAAGGUUUCAGUGAAUAAAGAACUGUCAUAUUUCAUAUUUCUGUCAUUAGUUAUAUGACUCAGAAUUUAACAAUACAGUUUAUGUUUGUUCAUUGUUGGUAGAUUAAUGAAGAUCUUCUAAAAGAACAAAAUAUGUGAAGAAAGAGUAUAAGGAAAUCCACGAGGGUAGUUCUCUUUUUAUACAACUACUGUAGCUGUUCAGCAUAACCCCCCCCCCACACACACACACACGUGAGAGGUGAUAUUAGCCCGAUUACCUUUAAAAUGGGUCGAUUUGGGUUUAGUUUUGCUGGGCUGAGUUGCAGGUCACAAGGUAGAGGUUGUGGUGAUAUUUGUGCAGUUCUGAACAGGUCAGAUUGGGGUAUUGGGACCUGGAUGUGGGGAAGAUGAGUUGUUUCUGAUGGUCAAUCUACUGCUUAUAGAAGUUAUGUUGAAAGGUUCAUGGCCCUUGAUGAACUUUAGUCUGAUCCAAACUCAAAGAGCCUGAAGAUCGGUGACCUUUGGUGGCAACGGUCAUGAAGAAGCUAUGGUAGCAGUCGGAAUCAAGACUAGAUGGAAGUGGUUUUGGGUUGCUAGGGUUCUGUCAUGAACCCAGGCAGUGUUGACACCUUAGAAAAGCUCGAUGAUGAUUAGGGGUUGAUUCCAGGUAGUCAAGAACAGAAUAAGAUCGAUGGCUCCUUUCAUCCAGUUUCGGUCGUUCAUCGGGUGCCGCUACGAAACCAAAGAUGGUUGGGCAUUGUCUCUUCACUCUUGAAUUAUCAUUCGUAGCCUUUAUCCAGUUUCUGUUUGUCGAUUUGUAUGGUCGUGGUUUUGGCGAUUAACGCUAACUAAAACAAUGCCGGCUAUUAGGGAUUGGUUAUGGUAUGUCUCCAGGUCUGAUUCCUUUCAUUGCUGAUAUACAGUCUGAACAUAGGUAACUUUAAUUUCAAUCUUAGUGCAGCGGUCCGGUUUGUCAAUUGUUUAUUGUCACCAUCUAUUGGUUUUUAGAUACUAUUUUCUAAGCGUGUUUGGUUGAUUGAAUAGACUUGAUUUAGAGUUUGGUACAUGAAAUUUUCAUUUCGAAACUUUAAAUUGUUACACACUAACGUUUUGACAAGUCUUGCUAGCUUUUAUAUAAGUUAUGUUAUUCAAUGCUCGGUUUAACUUAAAAAUCAAAUUUUAGCUCUUUGUUUAUUCUAUUCUGAUGCUAUUUUCUUAAUUUGCGGUUCUUCAAGUUUUAAUGUUCCAUGCAACGUGGCUUUUAGCGGUGAACCAGCUCUCUCAAGAGUUUCUGGAUCCAAAUCUUCUCGUGCGUUCUAGGUCGAUUGGGUCAGAUUGGUCCUGUAGAUUUGGUGCUUUUACAAACAAAACUGGUUUUUAGUAGGUUUGUUAAUUUUGCCCUACUAACCGGUUGAAGACAUGCUUUUUAACCUGAUUUUGAAAACAUAUUUUUACGCGUAGGUUUGAGUGCAUUUUUGUAGAUUAUUAUAUUGUAAACCCAACAUUCUAAUUGGUUAAUUUGAAGUUUGAUAAUUACCUGUAUGUGUUUAGUUUGUCAAAUUAUCACUUAUUUUGUGUUCUUUCUGACCGGUAGAUGGUGAAUGGGUAAGUUUGCAUUGGAAUUUUUGCAAUUGGGGAUAUUAAGAGGGUACCCAACCCCAAAAGAUACUCGAUAUUACAAUGUUAUUCUCACACUUCUCUUUUACCUUUAUGUAAAGGGUUUUUGCUGUUGAUGCUGAAAAUCUAUGUAUCGCUCAUCUAGGUACCGGGGUGUUAUUGGCGGUGAUUCACUAAAUCUGGGAAUUGCAGAGUUUGGCUGCACCUAUGCUGCAACAGGUUCUGCGGUCACCCGAAACUGCUUGUGCACCAUCUUUAUAGUACAUUUGAUCAUCAUAUAACUAGAUCUGGGAUUACAGUUUGAAUGUUAGAUAAUGAUAGCAUUCUUCAUUGUGUAUAAUAAAGUUGGACAUUUGUAAGCUAA